rnacentral:rRNA from 1 species
CGCGUAUGCAACCUGCCUGUAACAGAGGGAUAGCCCAUAGAAAUGUGGAUUAAUACUUCAUAGUCCUGAUGAGUCGCAUGGCUUAUCAGGUAAAGCUCCGGCGGUUACAGAUGGGCAUGCGUGACAUUAGCUAGUUGGUGAGGUAACGGCUCACCAAGGCAACGAUGUCUAGGGGUUCUGAGAGGAUGAUCCCCCACACUGGUACUGAGACACGGACCAGACUCCUACGGGAGGCAGCAGUGAGGAAUAUUGGUCAAUGGGCGCAAGCCUGAACCAGCCAUCCCGCGUGCAGGAUGACGGCCCUAUGGGUUGUAGACUGCUUUUAUACAGGAAGAAAAAUCUCUACGAGUAGGGACUUGCCGGUACUGUAUGAAUAAGCAUCGGCUAACUCCGUG